GUAGGGUCCAAGCGUUAAUCGGGAAUUACUGGGGCGUAAAGCGUGCGCAGGCGGUUGUGCAAGACCGAUGUGAAAUCCCCGAGCUUAACUUGGGAAUUGCAUUGGUGACUGCACGGCUAGAGUGUGUCAGACGGGGGGGUAGAAUUCCACGUGUAGCAGUGAAAUGCGUAGAGAUGUGGAGGAAUACCGAUGGCGAAGGCAGCCCCCUGGGAUAACACUGACGCUCAUGCACGAAAGCGUGGGGAGCAAACAGGAUUAGAUACCCUGGUAGUCCACGCCCUAAACGAUGUCAACUAGUUGUUGGGGAUUCAUUUCCUUAGUAACGUAGCUAACGCGUGAAGUUGACCGCCUGGGGAGUACGGUCGCAAGAUUA
rnacentral:rRNA from 1 species